CUCCCCGCCCAACCCUAGGGAAGGCUGGUCAGGUUGGGGGAGGGGCAUGCACUGUCCGGCCUUCUCUGCCCCACCCCCCCUCCCCCCCGCUCCACCUCCUCUCUCCUCUCCCCGCCUCUCCCUUGCGGGGGGUCCCCUGAUUCCAAGAAUUCUCCUGCCUGGCUUGGACUCCUAGCCCACUUUCCCUUUGCCCCGAGGGGGGAAAGUUACUUCUCUGCUCCGGGAGGAUUGGCUCCGGCUCCGUCCGUUUACAUCCUUGGCAGCUUCAGCAUCUAGCUGCUGGGGCCCGUGUAGAGAAGAGAGAGAAGCCGGGAGAUUCCUGGGCCAAACCCGGAGAACGAGCUUCCGGCUAGCCGCCAGCCCUGCUGGUUGAACUACCUUCAGAAGGACAUGAUCAUCUCCACCCUCCUACCAGCACCUCCAUUUCAACCAUUCAAUAAACAUUUAUGAGGUGCCUAGUAUAUUGCUAGGCACUGGGAAGACAGACUGAAAGAAACCAAAACAAGAAACCAUACAUGAAGAGCAAACAGCCCCUACCCUCAAGGACCUUAUAUUCUGUUGAGGGAGUAGGAUACAACAUGGAUAAUUAAUUAUUUGAUCUUAACAUACCCAAAGUCAAGUAUAUUAUUGUCCUUUCUUCCCCUCCCCCAAAGCUAUUUGUCCUUCUGACUUGAUUAUUUCUAUUUAAAAGAUUGUGAUUAUUUUCUAUUGGAAUUUUUGGUCAGUUAAACCAGGUCCUGUUGAUUCAACUUCCAAAGUCCUCUCAAAUGAGCAAAAUCAUUCAAAACCAACAUAUUGAAAAAUCUGACAAUUUAAGUCUUGUUCCAGACCUAUGGAUUCUAUAGCUCUAAAGACGAAGGACUCUGGGUUGAAAAUUUCUUUUCAUAUUUUUUCUUUGGGGUCAAGCUUGUUCUUUAUAAUUUCUCAAUAUUCAUUUUAUUAAAAAACAUUUUAUUGAUGCUUUAAAAAAAAUAACAUCAGAAUCUCUCCCAGUAUCUCUCCUCCUUUCCCUUUCAGGGAGACAUCCUAUAUAACAAAUAACAUUUAGUGGUUUUUAAAUAAAGUUCAAACACCCUUGUUGGGCUUUCAAACUGGUACCCACCAAACCUUCCAAACAUGUCCUUUGAACCACCAUUCUUCCACCUCCACCCAUUUAUUAAAGUUUUCUUUAUUCCUGAGAAGCCCCCUCAUUUCUUCCCUCCCCUCUGGUAGAGCCCUAACUAGAAAGUCUGGAAUUUCACAGAGCAGUUAGUUUUGAAUCUAAACUAUAUUAUGUCAUGUUGUUUAUGGUAGUUAUCUGUGUUUGGGUCUGUUUCCCCUAUUAGGCUGUAAGCUUCAUGAGUGUAGGAACAUAUAUUUUCAUUUUCUUAAAAAAAAAUCCCUUACCUUCUGUCUUAGAAUAAAUACUAAAUAUCAGUUUCAAGGCAAAGUGGUAAGGGCUAGGUAAUUGGGGUUAAGUCAUUUGCUCAGGGUCACACAUCUAGGACGAGUCGGAGGUCAUAUUUGACCUAGGUUCUUCUCACUCUAUGCCUGUCUCUCUCAUUGUGCUACCUGGCUACCUCAGGAAUAUAUAUUUUCUAAACUUUUUAUUACCACCCCAUCCCUGUCCCCCCCCUCCCCAGUGUGCAGCACAUCUUUGAACAAGCAGAUACAUAAUCAAUAUUUACUGAAUGAUUAUUAAAUAGAUUUUACUUUUU